rnacentral:rRNA from 1 species
GAUAUGAUCCAGAGUACCACGGGACACGUGAAACCCUGUGGGAAGCAGGAGGGACCACCCUCCAAGGCUAAAUACUACCUAGUGACCGAUAGCGUAUAGUACCGUGAGGGAAAGGUGAAAAGAACCCCGGGAGGGGAGUGAAAUAGAACCUGAAACCCUGCACUUACAAGCUGUGGAAGCACAUUUCUUGUGUGACCGCGUACUUUUUGUAGAACGGGCCAACGAGUUACGUUAAGUAGCAAGGUUAAGCACUUAAGGUGUGGAGCCGUAGCGAAAGCGAGUUUUAACUGAGCGUUCAGUUACUUGACGUAGACCCGAAACCGGGCGACCUACCCAUGAGCAGGAUGAAGCGAAAGUAAAAUUUCGUGGAGGUCCGAACCCACGAGCGUUGAAAAGCUCGGGGAUGACUUGUGGGUAGCGGUGAAAUUCCAAUCGAGCCCGGAGAUAGCUGGUUCUCCCCGAAAUAGCUUUAGGGCUAGCCUCAAGGUGAGAGAUACGGAGGUAGAGCACUGAAUGUCCUAGGGGGUAUUGCACCUACCGAAGACUAUCAAACUCCGAAUGCCGUCAUCUUAUACUUGGGAGUCAGACUGUGGGUGAUAAGAUUCAUAGUCGAAAGGGCAACAGCCCAGAUCGUCAGCUAAGGUCCCUAAAUGUAAGUUAAGUGGUAAAGGAUGUGGGAUUGCACAGACAACCAGGAUGUUGGCUUAGAAGCAGCCACUCAUUCAAAGAGUGCGUAAUAGCUCACUGGUCGAGUGAUCCUGCGCCGAAGAUUUCCGGGGCUAAAACUUACUACCGAAGCUACGGCAUCAGUAAUGAUGGGUAGGGGAGCUUCCCAUACGGGUUGAAGCAUGACCGUAAGGACAUGUGGACAGUAUGGGAGUGAGAAUGUUGGCAUGAGUAGCGAGAUGUG